rnacentral:rRNA from 1 species
UUAACCGUAUAGGGGAGCCGGAGGGAAACCGAGUCUUAAUUGGGCGUUAAGUUGCAGGGUAUAGACCCGAAACCCGGUGAUCUAGCCAUGGGCAGGUUGAAGGUUGGGUAACACUAACUGGAGGACCGAACCGACUAAUGUUGAAAAAUUAGCGGAUGACCUGUGGCUGGGGGUGAAAGGCCAAUCAAACCGGGAGAUAGCUGGUUCUCCCCGAAAGCUAUUUAGGUAGCGCCUCGUGAAUUCAUCUCCGGGGGUAGAGCACUGUUUCGGCUAGGGGGCCAUCCCGGCUUACCAACCCGAUGCAAACUGCGAAUACCGGAGAAUGUUAUCACGGGAGACACACGGCGGGUGCUAACGUCCGUCGUGAAGAGGGAAACAACCCAGACCGCCAGCUAAGGUCCCAAAGUCAUGGUUAAGUGGGAAACGAUGUGGGAAGGCCCAGACAGCCAGGAUGUUGGCUUAGAAGCAGCCAUCAUUUAAAGAAAGCGUAAUAGCUCACUGGUCGAGUCGGCCUGCGCGGAAGAUGUAACGGGGCUAAACCAUGCACCGAAGCUGCGGCAGCGACGCUGAUGCGUUGUUGGGUAGGGGAGCGUUCUGUAAGCCUGUGAAGGUGGCCUGUGAGGGUUGCUGGAGGUAUCAGAAGUGCGAAUGCUGACAUAAGUAACGAUAAAGCGGGUGAAAAGCCCGCUCGCCGGAAGACCAAGGGUUCCUGUCCAACGUUAAUCGGGGCAGGGUGAGUCGACCCCUAAGGCGAGGCCGAAAGGCGUAGUCGAUGGGAAACGGGUUAAUAUUCCCGUACUUGGUGUUACUGCGAAGGGGGGACGGAGAAGGCUAUGUUGGCCGGGCGACGGUUGUCCCGGUUUAAGCGUGUAGGCUGGUUUUCCAGGCAAAUCCGGAAAAUCAAGGCUGAGGCGUGAUGACGAGGCACUACGGUGCUGAAGCAACAAAUGCCCUGCUUCCAGGAAAAGCCUCUAAGCAUCAGGUAACAUCAAAUCGUACCCCAAACCGACACAGGUGGUCAGGUAGAGAAUACCAAGGCGCUUGAGAGAACUCGGGUGAAGGAACUAGGCAAAAUGGUGCCGUAACUUCGGGAGAAGGCACGCUGACACGUAGGUGAAGUGAUUUACUCA